AUUGAACGCUGGCGGCACGCCUAACACAUGCAAGUCGAGCGGUAGCAUGGUUAGUAGCAAUACUAACUGAUGACGAGCGGCGGACGGGUGAGGAACACGUAGGCACCUGCCCAAGAGAGGGGGGUAACUAAGGGAAACUUUAGCUAAUACCGCAUAAUUCUCUGAGGAGAAAAGUUGCCCGUAAGGGUAGCGCUUUUGGAGGGGCCUGCGUCCGAUUAGUUAGUUGGUGAGGUAAUGGCCCACCAAGACUGUGAUCGGUAACUGGUCUGAGAGGACGACCAGUCACACUGGGACUGAGACACGGCCCAGACUCCUACGGGAGGCAGCAGUGGGGAAUCUUGGACAAUGGGGGCAACCCUGAUCCAGCGAUGCCGCGUGGGUGAAGAAGGCCUUCGGGUUGUAAAGCCCCUUAGGCUGGGAAGAAGUUUAUGGGAUGAAUAAUCCUGUAAAUUGACGGUACCAGCAGAAUAAGCACCGGCAAACUCUGUGCCAGCCGCCGCAGUAA
rnacentral:rRNA from 1 species